rnacentral:lncRNA from 1 species
UUCGGAUGGGGUCCAUUCCCAUUAGGGCGCUCCAAGCCUCCUACCUAACUAAGACAUCGGAAAAAAAAAGAAGAGAAAAUAUAGGAAAAAAAUAUUAGCGGAAACAAAAGAAAGGUAAAAAAAAAAAUAGAAGGUUCGAGAAGGAGACGAAGCAAAAAUAGUAAAAAGAAAGAAAGAUCUGUGGAAAGAAAAAUACCGAAGAGAUAUUAGAGGGGGAAGCUCGAUGCUG